rnacentral:rRNA from 1 species
UACGUAGGGUGCAAGCGUUGUUCGGAAUUACUGGGCGUAAAGCGUGCGCAGGCGGUCUUUUAAGUCAGAUGUGAAAUCCCCGGGCUUAACCUGGGAACUGCGUUUGAAACUGGAAGGCUAGAGUGUGGCAGAGGGGGGUGGAAUUCCACGUGUAGCAGUGAAAUGCGUAGAUAUGUGGAGGAACACCGAUGGCGAAGGCAGCCACCUGGGCUAACACUGACGCUCAUGCACGAAAGCGUGGGGAGCAAACAGG